CACCAUGGCCACUGUCUUUUCCCGUUUUUUUUUCCUUUUAACGGUUUGCUCUUGCGUGCUUCCCGCUGAUUGUGACAAUGCCGGCCACCACACGCUGGCGUCAUGAUCCAAUACUCACUCGUUGUGAUAAUGCCGAGCAGCCUGCAGCCUGCCCUCUGGUGCGGCUGCGGGCUCUCUGGCGCCGGUGGACAGGGCUUGGCUGGCGCUGUGCCGAAGAGACGUAUAGCCAUGCUCACGCCUGGGCCAGCCCACUACGAGUCCUGCCCGCGUAUUCAGCACGUACACGCAUCCACCAUCUCUUCUCCUGCUGUUACUGCGCUGCGGUGAUGUCGUGCGUAGUUCUGGGCCUCGGCUGCUGUGUAUGCGCAGUAGAAUGGCAGUGGGCUGAGCGACGCCGAAAGGCGUCGGCGUGCCCAGCUUCUUGCAAGUAUGCAAUAGCAUUCUGUGUUCUGCAAGAGACGCAUUCCAUCCUGGCGGGCCUGCAAGGCAUGUGGCCACCCGUCUUUUCAGCAUUCUGGCAUAUCACGAGGCGAAGAGCGUGGUGGCGGCGCCUCCGUGCGAAAGCAGGAGGACAUACGUACAGGUGUAGCCCCCUCCUUCUCCGCCAUGCCGUUCUAAAGAGCUAAGUUGCAGCAGUGGCAGCCUGGAUGUGCUGCAGUGACCCUACUAGACGGAUACUAGCCUCAGGUCCGGCUACACACCUACAGCAGGUGCCCUGGUGGGACAGCAAGUGCUGUCGAUCAGAUACAAAGCAGCGUCGCGCCCAGCCCUCGUGUUGUCGGAAUGGACGCCAACUCGCACCACCCGGUGUGGGACACGAAAGGACAACCCGACCGAGCCCGGUCCAUUCCAUACAAUUGGCCCCAUCGUAAAUACUUGACACGUGCAAAGGGAGGAGGACACCCCAGCAUGGCACAGCGCAGACGGGGCCACGGACACGCCAACGGACGUCACCCGGGCGCUCGACUGCCUCACCUGCGGUUGGGGCACCGUCACCACGGAGCCGAGCCACGACUGCACGAUGCAGUCCACUAUCCACUUUCAGGAAGCAUAUGACGCGAUGCCGCCAGCGUUGAUUGGCACCUCAUCAUACUCUUUCCAAAGGGCGGACUGGAAUCUGCAGCGCACCGUGAUUAAGAAAUCGUCCCUCCAAGUCCGUGUCUGCCGCAGCAACGGAGAAACGAAGACGCGCAAGGUUCCGACUACUGCGAUGACGACGAUCUCCACAACACCGCAACGCAUACACAGCUGCAUAGCGUCCCUCAUGGAUACAGUGAAAGUCAUAACUAUCACCAACCAUCACCAGGUGCCGUGCCCCGGCUACUACAGCUGCUUCUGGACCGUUGUGGAGGCCUAAACGAACCUCACCAGAGGGAGCUCUUGCCAAAAUAUCCUGUGCAUCCUCCCAGCACUGCCUUCCCUUGGAGAUGCUCGUGAAAGAGCCCCCAAAAACGCCACAUUGGAGACCUGUGUACACUCCUGCAGCGGUGCAAGUCCUCCCCAAUCCCGAAUCAUGGGCACGGAUUCAGGCUAUCCAUGCCACCCCAGCGCACGACGCGCACCAAUAGUGUGACAAGACAAUCACCACCCCAGCACGAUAUCCAGCAGCCCCCUUCCCCCAUCGCGUCCCACCACGAGACCCACCACCGUGCCUUUCAGGCCGUUCACGAUUGGUGUGCUCCAGGUGGUGCUCCAUGAAGUCGACUACGGCCCCGCCCCGAGCCUCGACGAGGUUCGCUGUGAGAGCGUCAAGGCUGUACCGACGCACGGAAAGAGGGGCGCCGCUGGAUAUUUGCAACCAGAGCGUCGCCACCGGCCGCGUCGCUUCUACAUGGAAAGGAUAGGCUCACCGUGCCCCCUUCCCCUCGCCUGCAGCCGCACGUGCCCGAUGGUGUGGCCCCGUGCCCUACUGUCUCUGUGACACUGACCCGUGAUCUGCGCAACCCACAUGAGCAACGUACCUCGCGACGACUGCGCGACCAUCUGGGACACAAACUCCAGCCACGGCAGCCUGACUGCCGUCCCCACCGCUCCACUGCAGACCGCGCGGGCUUGCUCUCCCGCACGGCGGCCCAGCACCAGCCAGGUGCCGCUAUAGGGGCGGCGUCUGUGGGCUCGACGCUCACGCCUUCGGCUCGGUAGGCCACGGCGCUGAAGAAGUGCGGCGUAGACCCGCGCCAUGCUGUGGGAUGCCGCGGCUUUAAGAGGCUGAGGGGGAAAAAGCAUGGCAUGCAUGCCGAGUGCGGGGCCUGGGAGGGCCCUGACCUGCGGGUGGCCGACUUUCUCCCUGGUCUCAUCCGGCAUGCACCUGCACCACUGUCUCUGCCCUCGAUGAGGACACUGAAGGCGGCCCCGCUUUGGGUCAAGGCAUGCGGUCUAGCCGAGUGUGUCUAGCGCCGGCCGCGCGGCACGUAACCGCAGAAGGGACGAUGAAGGACGAGACGAGCCCGCUAGACGCAUGACCUCAUUCGGUGUCAGGACGGCUCCAUCUGGUCGACCAGGGUUUAGCCGCAGUGUGACAGCGGCAAGUGAGGUGUGGUUGUGCAUGCUUGUCUAUGCGUUGGCUUGUACAUGGUAGGAUAACAUGCUGAAGAAAGAACCCCAUCCCCCGCAUCACCGGCAUCGUCUCUCCCUGCGCACCAAUCCGCGUUCGCCUAUCCAUGCCGUUGGUAAAGGAGAGGAUGUGAGGAGUAGUGGCAAGACGAACGGGGCUCUGCGCGAGGAGGGAUGACGGCGCGACUUUUUUUCUAUUUUCAAAUGUGCGUCUCUCGUUUUCACAGUCACUGUGACUGUUAUUAGCUCUUUUUUUUUCUGUUCUCUGUUUCUGAAGUGCGCCCUCCUUGUUUUACCGGCACGCGAGCUCAACAGCGAUUCAUUAGCGACAGUUCGAACUCCGUGACAUGUUAGGUUUUUCGCUAGCGCUGGGAAAGGGAGGAAGACGUAAUAUAUUCCCUGGCUCUAUAGCGGCUUCGUGUUGCUGGGUAUCGUCCUUUUUUGGUUCUUGUCGAUGCGGACAACGGAGAUGGCAAACGGCAAGCAUGCAUCGUGGAGCGCAUUCGACAGGAAUAUGCCCGUGCCUUUUCUAUUAUACUUUUUUUAUUUUACUCGAUGCUCGCUGGUUCUCGGCAACUUGAAGACGUGUCUCUCCGGGUAGGACUUACCACGCUGACGGCCACCGUACGGUUGAAGUUGGCCAGCCAACGCCCUUUGCUGGUCUACAUAAAACUGCCUGGUCUUCUGUAGAGUUCGUCCAUACGAGAACACACUCAUCUCGCGAAGAGAAUCACU
rnacentral:misc_RNA from 1 species